GGAGGGUUGGCAGAGCGGUAAUGCAGCGGAUUGCUAAUCCGUGACAGCAGUAAUGUUGUCCAGAGGUUCGAAUCCUCUACCCUCCGCCA
rnacentral:tRNA from 1 species